rnacentral:rRNA from 1 species
AGGAUGUAGAGUUGUCAAAACAGCUAGGAGGUUGGCUUAGAAGCAGCCACCCUUUAAAGAGUGCGUAAUAGCUCACUAGUCGAGUGACACUGCGCCGAAGAUGUACCGGGGCUAAACACGAUACCGAAGCUGCGGACUUGUGCUUAUGUACAAGUGGUAGGGGAGCGUUCUAAGGGCUGUGAAGGUGGAUCGUAAGGACUGCUGGAGCGCUUAGAAGUGAGAAUGCCGGUGUGAGUAACGAAAAGUGGGUGAGAAUCCCAUUCACCGUUUGACUAAGGGUUCCUGGGUAAAGUUCGUCUUCCCAGGGUAAGUCAGGACCUAAGAUGAGGCUGAAAAGCGUAGUUGAUGGAUAACAGGUUGAUAUUCCUGUACCACCUAUAUGACUGAUGGAGUGACGGAGAAAGCUAACGAGGGCCAGUUAUUGGAUUCUGGUCUAAGUGCUUAGGCUUGUAUGUUGGCAAAUCCGCAAUACUAUUAAAGCUGAAACAUGAUGGGGAAGUGACGUUUCGACUGAUCGAACUCUCGUGAUGCUAUGCUUCCAAGAAAAGCUUCUAGGGUUAAUUGUAUAGGUGCCUGUACCGACAACCGACACAGGUGGUCAAGGAGAGUAUCCUAAGGUGAGCGAGAGAACUAUGGUUAAGGAACUCGGCAAAAUGACCCCGUAACUUCGGGAGAAGGGGUGGUCUAGCGAUAGACCCGCAGUGAAUAGACCCAGGCAACUGUUUACCAAAAACACAGGUCUCUGCUAACACGUAAGUGGAUGUAUAGGGGCUGACGCCUGCCCAGUGCUGGAAGGUUAAAGAGAUUAGUUAGUGUGACGUAAGUCGAUAACACGAAGCUUUGAACUGAAGCCCCAGUGAACGGCGGCCGUAACUAUAACGGUCCUAAGGUAGCGAAAUUCCUUGUCAGGUAAGUUCUGACCCGCACGAAAGGCGUAAUGAUCUGGGUACUGUCUCAACCAUAGACUCGGUGAAAUCUUAAUACCUGUGAAAAUGCAGGUUACCCGCGACUGGACGGAAAGACCCCGUGGAGCUUUACUGUAGCUUGAUAUUGGGAUUCGGUAAACUUUGUAGAGUAUAGGUGGGAGACUUUGAGACCAAGGCGCCAGCUUUGGUGGAGUCAUCAUUGGAAUACCACCCUUAGUUUAUUGGAUUUCUAACCUAGGACCAUUAUCUGGUUCAGGGACAGUGUCUGGUGGGCAGUUUGACUGGGGCGGUCGCCUCCUAAAAUGUAACGGAGGCGUUCAAAGGUUCCCUCAGAAUGGUUGGAAAUCAUUCGCAGAGCAUAAACGUAUAUAGGGAGCUUGACUGCGAGACUUACAAGUCAAGGAGGUGCGAAAGCAGGAGUUAGUGAUCAGGCGAUUCAGAAUGGAAUGGUCGUCGCUUAACGGAUAAAAGUUCCCCCGGGGAUAACAGGCUGAUACCACCCAAUAGUUCACAUAGACGGUGGUGUUUGGCACCUCGAUGUCGGCUCGUCAUAUCCUGGAGGUGGAGUCGCUUCCAAG